UGUGAACUGUCAACAGAAUGAAUGCAAAAGCAGAUAGAUACGAGAUUCUAGCUGUUUUAUAUUAAGCCAGAUACUAAAGACAUUUGGAAAAAAUAAAGAAAAACUACAUGGAAUGAGGAAAUAGACCACUCCUGCCUUCAAAAUCCUCUUCGUGAGGUUUAUAGAAUUCCUAAGAACUCAGGAAAGACAUCAGCAGAGAGCAAUGAUCGUCAUAGCCAGAUGCACUGUCACCUCCAUUCAUACAGCACUGACUUCGUCCUUUCAGUCCCAUGGGGUUUACAGAUCUGUUCUCCUAACAGCUUCUUGCCUAUUUCACAAGGCCUAUUGCAAAACUAGCUCCACACAGAAUGCACCCACCCAGCUACUUGUCGAAUUACAACCUGAUGAUGGAUCCACCAGAAACUAAGAAUGGAAAGGUUAUAAAGAAAGCACAGCAUUCAUCUUCUGGAAGAAAAAGACUAUUUCUAAGAAAGUAAAAUAAAUGAAUAAAAGCACUUAAUAAGGA